UACGAGGGGGGCAAGCGUUGUUCGGAAUUAUUGGGCGUAAAGGGUGCGUAGGCGGUCUGAUAAGUCAUCUGUGAAAUCUAUGGGCUCAACCCAUAGUCUGCAGGCGAAACUGUCGGGCUUGAGUAUGGGAGAGGUGAGUGGAAUUUCCGGUGUAGCGGUGAAAUGCGUAGAUAUCGGAAGGAACACCUGUGGCGAAAGCGGCUCACUGGACCAUUACGUGACGCUGAUGCACGAAAGCUAGGGGGAGCAAACAGG
rnacentral:rRNA from 1 species